UACCAGCACCCCGAGUGGUCGGGACGAUUAUUGGGCCUAAAGCAUCCGUAGCCGGUUCUACAAGUCUUCCGCUAAAUCCACCUGCUUAACAGAUGGGCUGCGGAGGAUACUAUAGAGCUAGGAGGCGGGAGAGGCAAGCGGUACUUAGUGGGUAGGGGUAAAAUCCGUUGAUCCAUUGAAGACCACCAGUGGCGAAGGCGGCUUGCCAGAACGCACUCGACGGUGAGGGAUGAAAGCUGGGGGAGCAAACCGG
rnacentral:rRNA from 1 species